rnacentral:tRNA from 1 species
UCCCUGGCAGUCCAGUGGUUAAGAUUCUGUGCUUCCACUGCAGGGGGCAAGGUUCAAACCCUGGUCAGGGAA